UACGGGGGGGGCAAGCGUUGUUCGGAAUUACUGGGCGUAAAGGGCGUGUAGGUGGCCAACUAAGUCCGACGUGAAAUCCCCAGGCUUAACCGGGGAACUGCGUCUGAUACUGGAUGGCUUGAGUUCGGGAGAGGGAUGCGGAAUUCCAGGUGUAGCGGUGAAAUGCGUAGAUAUCUGGAGGAACACCGGUGGCGAAGGCGGCAUCCUGGACCGAUACUGACGCUGAGGAGCGAAAGCCAGGGGAGCAAACGGG
rnacentral:rRNA from 1 species